rnacentral:snoRNA from 1 species
AGGUCUGCACUCAGUGUUCUGAGCUUUGAACAUCUGAAUGAUUAGU